UACCAGCACCCCGAGUGGUCGGGACGUUUAUUGGGCCUAAAGCAUCCGUAGCCGGUUCUGCAAGUCUUCCGUUAAAUCCACCUGCUUAACAGAUGGGCCGCGGAAGAUACUAUAGAGCUAGGAGGCGGGAGAGGCAAGCGGUACUCGAUGGGUAGGGGUAAAAUCCGUUGAUCCAUUGAAGACCACCAGUGGCGAAGGCGGCUUGCCAGAACGCGCUCGGACGGUGAGGGAUGAAAGCUGGGG
rnacentral:rRNA from 1 species